rnacentral:rRNA from 1 species
CGGAUUAUUGGGCGUAAGGGCUCGCAGGCGGUUUCUUAAGUCUGAUGUGAAAGCCCCCGGCUCAACCGGGGAGGGUCAUUGGAAACUGGGAAACUUGAGUGCAGAAGAGGAGAGUGGAAUUCCACGUGUAGCGGUGAAAUGCGUAGAGAUGUGGAGGAACACCAGUGGCGAAGGCGACUCUCUGGUCUGUAACUGACGCUGAGGAGCGAAAGCGUGGGGAGCGAACAGGAUUAGAUACCCUGGUAGUCCACGCCGUAAACGAUGAGUGCUAAGUGUUAGGGGGUUUCCGCCCCUUAGUGCUGCAGCUAACGCAUUAAGCACUCCGCCUGGGGAGUACGGUCGCAAGACUGAAACUCAAAGGAAUUGACGGGGGCCCGCACAAGCGGUGGAGCAUGUGGUUUAAUUCAAAGCAACGCGAAGAACCUUACCAGGUCUUGACAUCCUCUGACAACCCUAGAGAUAGGGCUUUCCCUUCGGCGACAGAGUGACAGGUGGUGCAUGGUUGUCGUCAGCUCG